UACGGAGGAUGCAAGCGUUAUCCGGAAUGAUUGGGCGUAAAGCGUCUGUAGGUGGCUUUUUAAGUCCGCCGUCAAAUCCCAGGGCUCAACUUGGAGACGCCACCCGAUACUGCUCUGACUUGAGUUCGGUAGGGGAGUGGGGAAUUCCUGGUGUAGCGGUGAAAUGCGCAGAUAUCAGGAGGAACACCGGUGGCGAAGGCGCCACUCUGGGCCGAAACUGACGCUGAGGAGCGAAAGCGUGGGUAGCAAACAGG
rnacentral:rRNA from 1 species